AAAGAAAAAAGAGAUAAUACAAAACGAAAACCAAAUGAAAGGCAGACAUUUUACAAAUUAAAUAUGUGUAGAAUAACCGAUGGAUAACACAAAAAGAUACGAAGAAACGAAACGAACGAUUCGCAAUUCGUACAGGUUUUCGCGAGGAAACUUUUCUUCCGGACCGAUCCACUGAAUUUUCGAAGACAUUUGCACGUCCCUGGGUCAUAGAGAUAGGACCGCCCCUGCCGAAGAAGUAGGCGGCGUUCACCAGCCCUGAUCGUUGGUAUUACUCGGCACUCUAACGUGGUGCCGGAGAUCAGGGUUAGCGAAGAAACGGCAUGCGAUGGCGGCCGACCGAACCUGAACAUUCUUCCACUUUUUCAACCCCCUGGAUCUUUAUCAGCUCGCCAUCCAGACCAGUUGCGCCACAAUUUCCGCCCGAUAACCGCGCUGCACCGUAACCGCUGCCAAUACUUCCCACCAGUGAAAACUGUCCUUCGUUUCCGGUCCGGGUAAUGGAAAAAUGCAUGCGUGAAAAAUUCGCUUGAAAGCCUACGGAUGUAACAGGCUGUUACAGGUAACACAGCGGUACGGUAUGCAGCGGUUGACACGAAAGUUGGCCGUACGAGAAAUUCCUUUCGAAGACGCGCGCCUCGAUGGCAUUCAACCUUUGGAGAUAUUUAUUUUUGGAAACGCCUCGUGCUACUCGGUACCUCGAUUUAGAUAGCGUGGGAGGAGAAUUUGAUAUACGGCGAUUUAUUAAUUUCACGACGCUGACUAUGAACGUGUCGGACACCACGCAUACCGUCCGUUUAUUCCGCAAUGUUCGGAUCUCAAUUCCACAGAGAUAAUCCUGAAAGUAUCUGCAAAGGUGAGGGAAGGAGAUACCAUUAUCGAUGCAUACCGGCUCACCCAAUAAAACGUUGGUAGCUUACAGCCCUGGAUCGUCAUUCUGCACGUCCGUGGAUGAAACUCUUGGAGAAAAGCAAGAGAUGCUGCAGUUCACUCUACUUCUUUCUUCCUCUCUCGUCCAGUACGUUCUCUUUCUCCACUGACCAACAGCAACGGAAUAAAUAAAGUAAAUAGAGGAAUAUAGGAGGUAAAUAAAAAAUGUGGCAGCAGAGAA
rnacentral:lncRNA from 1 species